ACCACUAUUAUUAUGACUUCUCCCAACCACAACAAAUCUGAAACCAGAGGACUUUUGAACAACUCUCAAGUCACAAAUUCACUCUCAUGGCUUCUUCUUCUCCUUCUUCGUCGCCUCAAAACUGGAGAUACCGAGUUUUCACGAGCUUCCACGGACCAGACGUGCGUAAACUAUUCCUCAGUCAUUUAAGUAAACAGUUUAGCUACAAUGGCAUUUCCAUGUUCAACGAUCAAGAAAUCGAGAGAAGCCAAACCAUAGCUCCUUCUCUAACAAAAGCGAUUAGAGAAUCAAGGAUCUCUAUAGUCGUGCUCUCCAAGAAUUACGCUUCUUCGGCAUGGUGCUUGGAUGAAUUGUUGGAGAUUUUGAAAUGCAAAGAAGAUAUAGGACAAAUAGUGAUGACGGUCUUUUACGGCGUUGAUCCGUCUCAUGUUCGGAACCAAACCGGAGAAUUUGGGAGCAUGUUCAAUCAAACUUGUGCUCGUAGAACAGAGGAAGAGAGACGAAGAUGGAGCCAAGCUUUGAAAGUUGUGGGAAACAUAGCUGGGGAACACUUGCUUAAAUGGGAAAACGAAGCGAAGAUGAUUGAGAAGAUUGCGAGAGAUGUAUCAGACAAACUAGUUGCUACUACACCGUCUAAUGAUUUCGAUGGCAUGGUUGGACUUGAACCUCAUUUGUUGGAAAUGAAGUCUUUGCUAGAUUUGGAUAAUGAUGGAGUUAAGAUUGUUGGAAUCUAUGGUCCUGCAGGUAUUGGUAAGACUACAAUUGCUAGAGCUUUGCAAAGUCUGAUCUCCAAUAGGUUUCAACUUACUUGCUUUGUGGAGAAUCUUAGGGGAAGCUAUCAUAGUGGUCUUGAUGAUUAUGGUUUGAAGUUGCGUUUACAGGAACACCUUCUUUCAAAGAUUUUGAACCACAAUGAAAUGAGGAUAGGUCAUUUAGGUGUUAUACAGGACAGGCUAUGCGAUAUGAAAGUCCUUAUCGUUCUUGAUGAUGUGGACGAUCUUAAGCAGUUGGAGGCUUUGGCUGAUGAAACUAACUGGUUUGGUCCUGGAAGCAGGGUUGUUGUAACCACGGAAGAUCAAGAAAUUUUGGUCCAGCAUGGUAUCGACAUUACAUACCAUGUGGGGUUUCCAUCUAGAGAAGAAGCUCUUAAUAUAUUUAGUAGAUAUACUUUUAGACAGAGCACUCCAUCUGAUGGUUUUGAAAAGCUUGCAAAAAGAGUAACAGAGCUUUGCAGCUACCUUCCAUUAGGUCUCCGUGUCAUGAGUUCAUCUUUACGCGGAAAGGAUGAAGAUGAAUGGGAAGUUAUACUGCAUAGGCUAGAAAUUAGCCUUGAUCGAGAUAUCGAGAGAGUACUUAAGAUCGGAUAUGAUAGCUUAGAUGAGAAUGAGCAAAUAUUAUUUCUCCAUAUUGCAGUUUUCUUCAACUAUAACGAUGGUGAAUUGGUGAAAGACAUGUUCGUUGACAGUAAUGUGGAUGUAAAAACCGGUUUGAAGAUCCUAGUCAAUAGAUCCUUAAUAAGUAUUACUGGAAAUGGGGAGAUAGUGAUGCACAGACUACUACAACAAGUGGGUCGUAAAGCCAUUCAGAGACAAAAGCCUUGGGAAAGACAAAUCUUAAUUGAUGCUCAUGAGAUUUGUCAUGUCCUUGAAAAUGAUACAGGUACGGGAGUUGUCUCUGGCAUAUGGUUUGAUACGUCAAAUACCAAAGAAGUGUUUAUAAGCAAGAGAGCGCUUACAAGAAUGCCUAAUCUUCGUUUCCUCAAAGUUUACAAAAGAAGAUAUGAUGGGAAUGAUAGAAUGCAUAUACCAGUGGCGAUGGAGUUUCCCCAUCGCUUAAGGUUACUACACUGGGAGGCAUACCCAAGCAAGUGUCUUCCUCCAACAUUUCAUCCAGAAUAUCUUGUUGAACUGGAUAUGAAGUAUAGCCAGGUCGAGAAGCUCUGGGAUGGAACCCAGCCUCUUACAAGUCUCAAGAAGCUGGAUUUGUCAGCGUCCUACCAUCUAAAAGUUCUCCCAGAUCUUUCAAAAGCUAUAAAUCUUGAGACAUUGAAGCUGGGUAUUUGCGUGAGUUUGGUAGAGAUUCCAUCCUCAUGUUCACAACUUCAUAAAGUACAGAAGUUCUGGUUGAGUACCUGCAACCAAAAAGUCAUUCCAGCUCACUUGAGCUUGGCAUCCCUUGAAUACGUCUUCAUGAGAGGAUUCUCAAAAUUGAGAAACAUUCUAGUUAUCUCAACGCACAUAAAAAAAGUAGAUGUAUCAAACACAGAGUUAGAAGAUGUACCUGCAUCAGUUACGCUGUGGUCUGGUCUAAGGUCUUCUUCUACUAAGAAAAGUGGAAUGCUCAAGGAAAUUACACAUCACCACACGAGUGUAACCGAACUAGCCCUGAAAUAUACUGAUAUUGCAAGGAUUCCAGAUUCCAUCAAAGCUCUUCAUGGGUUACAGCACCUUAUUCAUCAAAGCUGUAGAUCACUUGAAUCAAUGCCAAAGCUCCCUGGUUCACACACAUUCCUACGUGCAGAGGAUUGUGAAUCACUGGAGACAGUAUUUUGUCCUUUAUACACUCCAAAUGCGCUGCUCAGUUUCGACAACUGCUUCAAAUUGGGCCAACAACCGGAAACAAAAAAAAUCCAACAAUCAUCUCUUCAUGGGUCGGCUCUCUUACUUGGGAGUGAAGUCCCAGCAGCGUUCCAUUACCGAGCUAAAGGAAGUUCUUUGACCAUUCUUCCUGAUGUUAUCAAUCUUCUUUCUGCUUUCUCAAGAUUUAAAAUCUGCCUCGUUGUUUCACCUAACCAUCAGACAAAAGAAAGUAGCAUUUCCAAACUAUUGUGUCGUACCACAGGCGAAGGGGACUUAUUCCUUCCCAUUCAUGAGGUCUAUGUUUACGCUUUUCCUGGAUUUCGAACGGAACACCUGUUUAUAUUUUACUCUGACUUCCUUGAAGAUCAUAUUAAGUACCCUGGAUUCUGCAGAGAGAUAGUGUUCGAAUUCAGCAGCAUAUUCCAUGACUUUGACGUUAUUGAAUGUGGUGCUCAGAUUUGGACCAAGCAAAGCACUGAAGGGAGCAAUAAAUCAAGAUUAAAUAACCAAGUGGUUGGAUAUCGUCUUCAUAGUGUCACUCAUGAGAUUGAAUCCAGUGAUUCAUCUGAAGAUGAGAGUGAUGUCCAUGUCCCUGCUCCUCGUAGUCGUAGAUAUGUGUGCGACUCGAACUCUGUGAAUAUUAAACGCAGAAAGUACAUAAAUUGUUGGAGUCUACUCAUGCUUUGCUGCGAUCUUUCUAGUAUUGUGAGAACCAUCAGAAGAUUUGUCUCAGGAAGAUAGUAGAAUACAUGCUAGGAGCAAGGAAGCACCAUCCAUCUCUUUGAUAUUAUGGUAGCAGCGCAUCAGGCCUGGCUUUGGUGGUUCUGAGCAUAUCCAUGAUAUUUACUCAUGUGCGUGAAUUCUGUGUGUAAAUAUGAACUAUGAGUAAAUAUAACAAACAUUAUUUGAUAUUUCUCAUACUUCUAUGAUUCUAUCUGUAACAACGUCUCAUCGAUGGUUUCUAAACGCCUUCAGUCAAAUUAAAAGGAACAUUAGGGACACUAUAAUUGCUCGGCGAGAGCUUCUUGAUCUAACCUUCACUAAUCUGGUCCAGCAAAGGUUUGCCCACGUGA